GACGAACGCUGGCGGCGUGCUUAACACCUCCUUUUAGAACGAAGAGCGAUGGAAGCUUGCUUCUAUCAAUCCCCUUUGGCGAACGGGUGAGUAACGCGUAAUCAACCUGCCCUUCAGAGGGGGACAACAGUUGGAAACGACUGCUAAUACCGCAUACGAUCUAACCUCGGCAUCGAGGAAAGAUGAAAGGUGGCCUCUAUGUAUAAGCUAUCACUGAAGGAGGGGAUUGCGUCUGAUUAGCUAGUUGGAGGGGUAACGGCCCACCAAGGCGAUGAUCAGUAGCCGGUCUGAGAGGAUGAACGGCCACAUUGGGACUGAGACACGGCCCAUACUCCUACGGGAGGCAGCAGUGGGGAAUCUUCCGCAAUGGACGAAAGUCUGACGGAGCAACGCCGCGUGAGUGAUGACGGCCUUCGGGUUGUAAAGCUCUGUUAAUCGGGACGAAAGGUCUUCUUGCGAAUAGUUAGAAGGAUUGACGGUACCGGAAUAGAAA
rnacentral:rRNA from 1 species